rnacentral:rRNA from 1 species
UAAAAAUAAUUUUAUUUAUUUUUUUUUAAAAUUAUAUUUUAAUUUAAUAAAUUAAAAUUUUAUGUUAAUAAAAAUUUUAAUUAAUUUUUAAAUUUAUUAAAAUUUAAUUUUUUAUAUUAUUAUAAUAAAAGAAUAAUUUAUUUUUUUUUCCUUUUGUAUCAGGAUUAAUUAAAAAUUAAUAUAUAAUUAUAUUUUUCUCGAAUUUAAAAAAUUUAAAUUUUUAUUUUUAUUAAUAUAAAAUUAUUAAAUAAAAUAUAAAUUUAGAAACUAAAUAUUAAACAAUUUUAAAUAUAUCUAGUUAUUUAAAAAAUAAAUUUAAUUUAUUUUUAAUUUUUUAUUAAUUUUAAUUUAAAAUUAAUAUUAAAUUUAAAAAAAUAAUUUUAGGGAUAAACUUUAAUUUAAUAUUAUAAAUUAAUUUAAAUAAAUUUUAUAAUUUAAAAAUAAAAUUAUUUAUAAUUAAAAAAUAUUUAAUAAUUUUAUAAAAUAUAAAUAAAAAUUUAAAUAAAAUUUUAAUUAAUUAUUAAAUUAUAAAAUUUAAUAAAAAUAUUUUAAAAAUAAUAAUUAAAUUAGUAAUAUUAAAUUUAUUAAAUUUUAUAAUUUUAAAAUUAAAAAUUAAAUUUAAUAAACUUGGCAAACUUAUAUUCACCUGUUUAUCAAAAACAUGUCUUAAUGAAAAUAAUUUUAAGUCUAAUCUGCUCAAUGAAUAAUUUUAAAUAGCUGCAGUAUAAAUAACUGUACAAAGGUAGCAUAAUAAUUUGUUUUUUAAUUAAAAACUAGAAUGAAUGAUUAAAUGAAAUAUAGACUAUAUCAAACUUAAAAAAUAAAUUUAUUAUUUAAAUAAAAAAAUUUAAAUAACUUUUAAAGACGAGAAGACCCUAAAGAAUUUAAAUAAUAAUUUAAAAUAAUAAUUUAUAAAUUAUUAUAUUAAUUGGGGAAAUUUUAAAAUUUAAAAAAUUUUUAAUUAAAUAAACAUAUAUUUUUGAAUAUAUAAAAUUUUUUAAAAAAUUAAAUUAAAUUACCUUAGGGAUAACAGCAUAAUUUUUUUAAAAAGUUCAAAUUUAUAAAAAAGUUUAUGACCUCGAUGUUGAAUUAAGAUUAAAUUUAAUAGAAAAAUAUUAAAAAUUUAAGUCUGUUCGACUUUUAAAAUCUUACAUGAUUUGAGUUAAGAUCGGUGUAAGCCAGAUCGGAUUCUAUCUUAAAAAAAAUUAAAUAUUUUUGUACGAAAGGAAUUUUUAUUUAAAAUAAUUUUUUUAAAUUAAUUAUUUAAUAAAUUAUUACUUUAGCAAAAAAUGCA